rnacentral:misc_RNA from 1 species
AACGCACAUUGCGCCCUCUGGUAUUCCGGAGGGCAUGCCUGUUCGAGCGUCAUUAUCACCCCUCAAGCCCGGCUUGUUGUUGGAUGUAGCGGGGCCCCCCCGCUCUUCCCAAAGAUAAUGACGGCGUCUGUGAGGACUCCUGUACACUGAGCUUUCGGGCACGUACUAGGCUAGAACUUCAGACCCGGUCUUCGUCCCGUCACUGGGACACUUCUUUUUUACAAGGUUGACCUCGGAUCAGGUAGGGAUACCCGCUGAACUUAA